rnacentral:misc_RNA from 1 species
AAGACUAUAGACCUGCGGAGUACCUGCGGAAGGAUCAUUACCGAGUGUUACAGCUCCCAAACCCACUGUGAACAUACCCAUCGUUGCUUCGGCGGGACCGCCCCGGCGCCUCUGCGCGCCGGACUCUGGCGCCCGCCGGGGGCCCGAAACUCUUGCCUCUUCGCGCGUAUUCUCUGAGUGGCACGAAAAAGAUAAUGAAUCAAAACUUUUAACAACGGAUCUCUAGAUCGGAAGAGCACA